rnacentral:lncRNA from 1 species
UUUUCGGAUCGCAGCCUCGCAUCAAUUGCAUCUAUCGUGGAAGAUCUUCUACGAGUUAUAACAAUGCAAGGAAGGAAGACAGGAGGAAGGACGUAUUAACUAAAAGCAGGUAUGACCUUAAGGCAACAAAUCAAGGUAAAAACGAUGCAUUAUAUUGAUUUUUUUUUUUUUGAAACAGUAUAAAAGGACUUAAAAUUGCUAAUGAAAAUCGCCUUCUGAAGCACAUAGAUGAGCUUCGAGUAAUUAUGGCUGAUAAACGCAUACAAAUUCUAGCUAUUAAUGAAACUAAACUUGAUCAUUCAAUAUCUGAUCAAGAAAUAAGUAUUUGCGGGUAUAAUAUAAUUAGGAAAGAACGUACUAGGAACGGUGGCGGUGUGUUAAUGUACGUACACGAAUCCAUAACAUCCACGGAACGCAAUGACCUAUGUCCAAACUAACUCGAAAUAAUUUGCGCUGAUAUUAAAAAGCCACAUAAUAAGUAAUUUCUUGUGAGGUCAUCGUACAGACCGCCAAACUUUGAUAUUAAUAUUUUUAAUGAUUAUGAGUCUUUUCUUCAAAAUUGUGAAACAAACGAUUGUGAGCUUUAUGUUAUGGGAGAUUUUAACUGUGAUGCUACUAAAUCUUCUCCCGACUAUAUACUCUUAGGCUACAAUUUCUCUCGACACUUUAUCAGCUUGAUCAAAUAAUUAGUGAACCCACAAGAGUUACAAUAAUAGUUUAAUAUAAUCAUAAAUAGGAAAAAGAAGACUCUGAAAAUGCCAUUUCCAACGAUCUAGAGACUUAAAAUUUUCAAAAUUCCCUGCUCGGCGUCAACCAUGGUUAAGCGCCUCGUGGGAGUCGGACCCACUAAGUUUAACAAGCUUCCUACCCCCUGAGUGACCCAGUUGUGGUAUUUACAUAAACAUACCAUGCAAGUACACUUAACUGAUCAGAUUCGGUCUAUCUAAGCACAAUGUAACGCUGUAUGUCCAAAAAUCUGUUUCACAAAAUGCUCACAUUUCAGUCCUAGGGUUGGAAAAAAAAACAUUUUCAGGUGGAGAAUACCCCAGACCCCCCUCCCCCGCCCUCCCCCGUCAACUAGUACAUUUAUACGAUCCACACCAUGCUUUUUGUUACCAACAACCAUCUGUCAUCUCUCCAUGCCCUCCCCCAGACAAGUUCUUAAAAAAAGCCCUGUGUUCAAAUCAUUUCGUUGUAUGAAGACGGGGCAAGGGUUAGGGUUAUGGUAGGACAAAUGUUGCAUUGCAAAGUAAUAAUACAUAAUAUAUAUUUUAACCAUAUGUGGUUGAAUCAUAUUCACCAGGGUAAAACAUCAUGAGCUAGAUUAAGCUAGUCCUAAUAUCUAACUUUACCUGCAACGCACACUUGUUUCAUUGCUGUUAAUUUUUCAAUCCACACAGGGGGGGGGGGGCAGAAAAGUUUCUACUUUUAUGAGGGGGGCACAAAAAUUUGCCUUCAGUGCGGAGGAGGUCAAAAAAGUUUUCAAACCUUAUUUUCCCCAUUUACCACCCCCCUCGCCAUAACUAAUGACCACUCCCUUACAUAUUACUACAUUACAACACGAAUGCAUGAGUGAACAUUCGAUUACUUUGAUACGCAUAUUUUAAUUCAAGCAGUCUCAGCUACUGUACAUGUUUUUUGUUUUUUUAAUUCGGGCUUUGCCCGACUCAGAACGCGUCAUUCGGAUGCGCAAUCGAAUUUCGCGAUUCUUCUAUAGCAUGAUCUAUUCUGUAAGAAAGUUUAUUGUCCCAAAGUAGGAUUCAAAAAUAAAGAUUAUCCGUAACUUUAAAAAUUUUAAUAUUAAUGAUUUUCUCAGUGAUGUGUCACAAAUAUCAUGGGAAACAGCUACAAUACAUGACAACCCCAAUUAAUGUUUGUUGGAAGAUUUGGAAAUCUUUAUUUCUUGAGGUGCUGAUAGACACGCACCCCUUAAAUUAGACAUGAGCGGAUCAGGGGAAAUUCAAUACCUUUAAUCACUUCUAAUAUCAAAGAAUCGAUGAGGUUGAGAGAUUACCACAAAAAAUAAAGCCGUGAAAUUUAAUUCUCACUUUCACUGGGAUAAAUAUAGAGAGACGCCUAAUAAAUUGAAUUCAAUAUGCGUACGACUAAGAGGAAUUAUUGUAAUAAAAUUAAAUAUGAUUUAGUCCAAUCUAAUGACAUUAGACGGAGCUGGUCUUUAAUAAAUAAUCUUUUGGGAAGAAAAAAGAAAACACACUCUAGUAUCAGCUAGACAGCUGAUAAUUGAUGACGUCGUCUUCUCUGACGAAAGAUUGAUAGCGGAAUCCUUUAAUGAUUUCUUCGUCAUUAUUGGAACUAAACUUAAUUCCUUCUGAAAUUCCUUGAUUCCUUCCUUCUCAGACCUUGAUAAAUAAUUUUGACUUUUGAGUAGAGGACAGAAAGUUAGUUAAUAGGUUCUUUAACAUUUUUCGGUUUUCUCUUUUCAUUCGCGAGAUAUGGAGCUCUAAACAACGAUUUUCGUGAAAAUGUGAGUACUAGUCACGAAAUUGGAACUCUAGAAGCAGUUGAUAGUGAAAUUUUUAGGCGAUUAUGAUGCAUGCCUUUAUGGAAUUAUGCCGAUGAACCGCUAGCGAGCGAAGAAUGCCACGCGCGAUAUCUAAAAAAUAUGCGGAACACAAGGAACAAAACGAGAUGCUACAGCGAUGAUAAGACGGCCUUGAAGAUAUUAAAUCAUGGUGAGCAUAAACAUAUAUUUAUUUUAACAUUUUAACGUAAAUAAGUAUCUGUGGCUGAUAUACUUUGGAUACAGCAUCAGUCACAUCAAAGAGUUGAACUCUUUAACGACACGACCCAAUUACCGCAAUGCUUGUAAGCAAUACGCUUUGCCGAUUUAAUAUCUUCGGUUCAUUGAAUGCUAUGAGGACAAAAAUACCACCAUUCGAUUCAGUGUGACAAAAUCUCCUCACUCGUAGCAAUAGUUUUAGUCAUUGGCAACAUUAUAGCGAUUUAUGAGCUUUAAAAGUAAAGUGAGAUCGAGUACGAUCAAAUUACGCAUUUUACCAACAAAUUAUAAAAACAUAAACAUACCUUACGCCGAAUAUAACUUCGGCCCCUUGAAACGUAUGCUCAUUGCGAUAUUCUUGAUGAAUUAAUCAUGUAAAAUGCCAUGUAUAACGUUAUUUCCAAGCUUCUAUCCUUAAAGGGUGACUUUUAGUGCCGAAUUUUACAUUUUUGCUCCGAAUUUGCGAUAAUCCCAACCGGAAAUACGACGAAAACUCGUCAAAACAAUUCCACGCUUGUAUCGCGUGACUCUGGAAAUGCCAGAAAUGGAUUCUACAGGUCAAAGUGCACCCAUACGCGUGAGUUUGACGUCAUCCCGGCAAAAGGGAGCUCCUUAUUGGCCAAGUAUUACGUAAUACAAGCGCGUGCGAGUAAAACCCGAUACUUUAAAAAUUCAAAAUAAAUAUUUCUACUCGUCGUAUUCAUACGAAACUUUCUACACUAAAGCGCUUGAAUACAAAGAGUAUUUUGCACAUAUAGCCUUUCAGAAAAUGACAAAAAGUUUAGAAGAUAUUCAACUUUUUCUCUUUUUAUCGUUUGAAUGUUUGGCGAAGCGGUGAGUAUAACUAUAUGAUUGUUUCGGUUUGUAUAAUGUUCGACAACACUUCACCCCCCGUUCGAAAGGUUAUUUUGUGAGGAUUACAAUGGUGGGUUUUGUUUUAAAGGGGGGUAAAUACUCGCCGCGAUAUUUACAUUUGAAAAAUUGAAUUGUAAUGUAAUGCGAAACUACUUGUCGACAAGGAGUUUUAAAAUCACACUUCCCUCACCUUCGUGAGAAAAUAUAAUACAAGGCACGCGAUCAAAGAAGAUAAUUAUAAACAAACUGGUUCAGAACAACUUACGUAUGUACUCUUGUUUCAAGCUACAAUGUAUAUCUGUAAUCACGUUUACUUAGUACGAACGAUUGCAUUUUCUCACGAGUUUUCUUAGAGCCCAUCAGUUCUCCAAACAAAUAGGUCUGAAUCCUGAGUGUAGAGUGAUACAGCAUGGCGGCUGUGGCACAUCUUCUAAAACCAAGUUACCGCCCUUCAGAACUUCCCUACAAGCAGUGCUGUAAAAGUUAUUCAUUUUCUGGAACUAGUUACAGUUAUAGUUACAUUCCCAAAAAAGGAACUAGUUUAGUUCCCGUUACAAAAUUACUUCAGUAUUUUUGUAACUAGUUACAAGUUACUUCAAGUAGGAAAACCCCCAGUUUUUUUCAACUUAAUGAUUAGUGGUCAGCAGAUUGACGUUAAUUAUUUCUAAACGUUAUGUAACCUUACCACUAAUGGAUUUCUCAGCUGUGUUAAGCACUGAAGCAUACGUUGUCGUAGAAAACCGUGAGGAGAAUUUCGAGAACUGAGAGGUGAAUUGUAAGAUUUAACCGCAAGAAUGUAACGAAAAAAGUAACGUAAACGUUGGCUAUAAAAGUAACGCGUUAUCGCUUCAUUUUAGGCCAAAAUGUAGCUCGUUACAGUUACAGUUACCUUAUUUUUAAAGCCGGUAACUAGUUACCGUUACAGUUACUCAAAAAGUAACGAUUACUUGUAAUUUCGUUACUUGUAACGAAGUUACUUACAGCACUGCCUACAAGAUUCCAUCUCCUUACAUCACCAAGCUUCGUGGGUAUUUUGUGACCGCAUUUACACUUGUGAAAUGCGAUACAGGUGAAGUUUGAUGUGACUGAUGCCGCAUCCAAAAUAUAUCAGUCAGAGUUACUUAUUUUAUGCUAAAACGUUAAAAUAAAUCUAUGUUUAUGCUCACCAUGACUUAAUAUCUUCAAGGCCGUCUAAUCAUCGCUGUAGCAUCUCGUUUUGUUGAUUUUUUCCUUGUGUUCCGCAUAUUUUUAGAUAUCGCGCGUAGCAUUCUUUGCUCGCUGGCGGUUCAUCGGCAUAAAGGUAUGCAUCAUAAUCGCCUAACAUUUCGCUAUCAACUGCUUCUAGAGUUCCAAUUUCGUGACUGGUAUCAUUUUAUUCAUCCUCUAUAAUAUACCCAGGAAUAUAAUGUAUUCUGAGUCACAUUGAGAACCACGAGUGCUGGAAAACAUACAAAAUAUAAACAAAUGUAUGAUGCGCGUCGUGAUUAAGUUCCUUAAGCUACGUCACACCACGCUCGUCCCAGACUCUUGUUGAUACUCGACAUUUUCACGAAAAUCGCUGUUUAGAUCUAGAGCCUCAUAUCUCGCGAAUGAAAAGAGAAAACAAAAAAAUGUUAAAGAACCCGUUAACUAACUUUUUGUCCUCUACUUAAAAAUAAAAAGAAAAAGAAAAAAAUGGAACAUAAGCACUUUAAAAGUCAACAUUCACAUUUACUCAAAUUUGUACAGCUGAGGUUAUCUCUGUGAUUCGAAAUCUUAAAACAUCAAAGUCAAAGAUAUACAUAUUAAUUUUCCCUUCUCCCAUAAUUCUUCCAAUGAAAAUUUGGCCACCCUGUCAAUGCCAUCUGCUUCAUUUCCAUUAACGCCUACAAAUGAGAAAAGUAAGUUUUUCCAGGCCAUUAAUAUUUACAUUCUGACCUAGAAAUACAUGCAUGGCAAAAUCCUUUGCCUUGCUAUACGGCUGAAAUCGCACAGGUUGUUCCAAGUUGAUAUCCGACAUGCGUGAACAAUGUUGUGCGGCCAACUAUGAACAAAGUGUCAACCAUGUUGUUCCAAGUUGUUACAAUUGAACAAUGCUGUAAUAACAACAUGUUGACAAUACUGUUCAAAGUUGGCCGCACAACAUUGUCCAGGCCUGUUGAUAUCAACCUGGAACAAGUUGUCGAUUUGCUCAAUUUAUUUAAGGUGCAAAUUUUUAUAUUAGGCAACAUAACUGUUGUAUCUUUGUUGCUUAAUUAAUUAAAACUUUCUGAUCUAAACAACAACGUCGCAAGUAGUAGCAACACCAAAAUUGCAAUGCAUAUUUGUUUUAAUAUUGGUUUCUGUGUUGCCUACAAAUAUCUUACAUGCAACAUGUUAAAUUAGUUUUUAACUAAUUUUCAUAAUUUGGAAAGUGCAAAUAUUGGUGUUGCCACUUUAAUGAAGUGGCUCUAGAAUGCAGUUGGUUAGUCAUUUAGAUCAGACUGUCUAAAAGGAAAAAAAAAAUAUAUAUUUUUAUGCAAUGGUCACAGAAUACUAUACAGAACUCCAUCUCCAUUUUAUUUGCGUAAGCGCUAUUCGUUAUGAUUCGUCACUUAGCAAGUACCGUAAACAGAAGCAGUCACCCCCCUGGAUGUGUGCCAUUUUAAAUAUAUCCAGGGGAUGACUGCUUCUGUUUACGAUACUUGCUGAGUGACGAAUCAUGCCGAAUAGCGCUUACGCAAAGAACAAUGCAGAUGGACAUCUGUAUAGUAUUGUGUUCAAUAAUGGUGCUGCAAUCUCAAUUGUUAUUGGCUAAAAACCUAUACAGCUAGAUAAUCCUCAAUGUCUUAUGGCCACAUACAACAUUGAAAUUUGUCUGUAGGUGAUGUAAUUUUUAAUGUGUCAACUGACUAGUUUUCCUGCCAGUAUAAUGUCAUGGCAGAGUAUAUAAUAAAACAAUUACUGAAUUGAAUUCAGCUUUUGCAUGAUAUCAACAAUUAUCCAGAACUCUAGAGCUGUCAAUGUUAUCCGCUACAGGUGUCGCAGAUAACAUUGACCUCAGUCUAGGUAAUUAUUCAUAUCAUGCUCAGCCUCUUGUCAACCCAUUAAGCGCCAGCUAGUGCUCUCCCCUUGAUCGGGCAGUAAAAUCGUCUGGCUUAAAGUAGGGUGCAUGAUCAGGACGCAAUGCGACUCAACGGGUUAAAUAUAUUUACUUUACACAAUGUAAAAAUUCACAACUUAGAUAAAAGUAAACACGGUAAUGUCACAAAGUGAGAUGGGGAGCAUGUUGAGUGACAUUGGAAUAACUUUAACACACUGAGUGACAGCACUCUCCCCCUGACGAGUAAAGCUGUCUGGUGUUAGACAGAAAAAAAUAAUCUGGCGUUUUAGACAGAGUAAAAUAAUAGAGUAUGCCGCAUUGCUACUUAACUGGUUAACAGUGUGCAUUGGCAAAUAUUCUGCUUACUUAACCAAUUGAGUGGCAGCACUCUCCCCCUGACGAGUAAAAUAAUAGAGUAGGCCACAUCAGGGCGCUUUGCCAAUUAUUAAAAUGCAUUCACAUCGGAUAUACUGUAACCGGAUACAGUGCAACUUUUAAAUAUGUGCUUACCAAUUUGAUGACAACACAUAUUUAAAACUGACAUUAUAUAAGUCCAAAAAAGGUUGGUACAAUUAAAUUACUGUUCAGCCAGUGCACGGAAGACUAGAUCGGCAGAACGUGGUGCUUCAUCUCCCAGAAUGUUCCAGUAAAAUAUAAGGUGUCUAUAGUAACUGAUGUAUAUGCAAGAAAAAAUGCUAUUUGAUGUAUCAUUUGCCUGAUAAUCGGCUGAAUACACGCACUUCACACUAUGUAACAACGUUCGGUUUAAAAACACAAUAUUUUGAUCGUGUAUACAAACUAUACGGAUCGAAUUUUGCAGCCAUCGAACGGCGUACCAAACCUUUUGAUUAGCGAUACGUUGCGUUUACAGAAUGUGAUGUUUUUUGCUGUUAUAGUUUUCUUUCUGCUUCUCACUCGAUUCAAUGAACUUUUUAAAAUGUUAAAUGUUUUCGUUGAUGCCAUGAUGGAUAAUUCGAACUUCGAAUCGCAUAUAUUCGCCUCUAUUUGUAACCAUAUAUUCCACAUUUAAGACGUAAAAUAUGCAUAGAGAUUAGAGUCAAAACAGAUGAUAUAUUGCCACCGCUGAUUGGCUAGAACUAGAAGCAAGAAAGUCCACUAACUAACGCAUCUACUGAUUGACUAAAGGUCACUAACUUACACGCACUGUAGCAAAGUAGCCUAUCUGCAUUCGCAGAUAAAAAAUGGUUUAUAUUCUUUAUAUUGCCCUUGCAUUUAAUAUUUUUUAGGAACUUUUUUACGCUAACUUUAUUAACAUUCUUGCAGAAUUAUAAUAACAAAUUUUAGAAAGACAAACAUACAGGAAAAUAGGCAAAAGAACUCAAUUGAGAUAAAUGCGAAUGGGAUCGACACUGCAUGGAUCCAUAGAUAUCUUAUAUACACUAGAAAGCGCAUCUCUUUUAGUAAAAUUGAAGCCAAGAAUAUUCCAGCGGUUACCACCAUUUGAAUAGAUGGCGGCCAUGUUGGAGUUUCCCACUCGCUAAUAAACGCUUAAAAAACAACAAUAACUGUCAUCAUUUGAAUAGUGUGAAAUUGUAUUUGGAAUAGGUUUAACUUAAUGUUUAAGUUAACUUUCCUAUUUAAGAAUUAGAAAACAUACGAGUCUUCUCAUUUCAUGGGAAUAUCCUGCAUCGGCAACCACGGUUUCAAUUUUUGAAUUGCAGAAUAAUUAGAUGCACUAUCUAGUGUAUAUAUAUAUAAGAUAUCUGCUGUAUGCAUGGAUCUCAUGCUGGCCACUUCUCGAAAAUAAUUACAAUUAUAUAAGUUUAUAUCUUGGUCCUAUGGCUGGACAAUCGUAUACGAGCGACCACGUACACUCCGCAGAUUUAGAACAAACAUUUUGAUAUUUAUAUUCUUAUGCAUCAGUUUGAGUGCAUGAACUUUUUAACACCUCAUUCGUGAGGGCCAGGGACGUGAUGGUGUCUUCUAAAGAACAGCGAAUUAGCAACGUCUGAUGGAGCAUAGGCCCAGUGACAGAUGGAUCAAUUAAGGUUGGGGGGGGGGGUUACUAAUCAAAUCUGGAGUAGUGAAAAUUAUACCAUUACCUGCAUGACAUUAAAAGUUUUAUAACACGUUUGGCUGCAUGACAUAUAGAUGAUUUGAUAAAUUAAACAAUUUAUAUGAUUUAUUGAUACAAUAAAUGGCAAUCUGACUAAAAUAAACGAGAAUAUAUAAUAAUUAAUUAUAUAAUUCAAUUCACUUUCACACAGGAUUUCUCAAGAGGUUUACUUUAUUUUUAACAACGUUUCGGACAGUUUUACCAAAGAGUAAAGAUAUAAAGAGAGUUCACUCGGUGAAAAAUGCAGUGUUUAGGACGUCACACGGAUUUGCGAAGCUGACGCCAUUUACACGCCAUCAAAAGCAAAUUAAAUAUUAAAAAAAAAAAUUAAUAUGCCGCAGCCAGUACCGUUCCUGCGCUUUCAGUCAAAACUAUAGGGAAAACGUAGUUCGUAGUUCAACAAUAGCAGUAAGUGAUCUUUUCUAUUCACAUAAGAAGUGCGGUUGAGCUUUUGAAAAACUUUUAUUUGAUUUUGAAAGUUGAAGCCCACAGAUUGUGAUAUCCUAUAUAUUUCAGUGGCAAGACUCUCUGCUUGGCAAGUCGAGUUUGUACUUAAUGGGUUAGUAUCCUGACAAUCAAAAUACACAAUUUAAAUUAGAUCAACACACGUAUCGAACUCUCAAAGGCUGAGACAUUUUGGUCUAGACUUUUUUUUUUGCUAGUUUUUUCUCGUUGAAAAAGUGAAUUAUGCUCUUACCUGAACAUUAUACGAUACGAAAUAUACUGGAAUGUCAAUUCUGAACAACUUCUUAGCUUUUCUGCCGCAAAAACGACACAACUGGAGUAUAGAACAUCGUGUAGAACAACUUUUUGAUCUCGUUUUGACUUGUCAACACAAGUUUCGAACUUCACUCCUUCGAGUAUAAUUUUUCCUUUUCGCAGCGUUCAAGUAGUGUUUGCAGCCCCAUUUGUUGUUAAAAAUGUCCAGUCUAACCCAUUUUCUUGCAAUUAAAACGAAACAGCAAGUCACCUGGAUAGUUUCGUUAAAAUCGUUGUUUUUAUGACAAAAAUUCGGAUUUCCCCAUCUAUUUCCUUAUAAAAAAAUUUCACGGUACUGGCUGGGAAGUUACGCAUGCGCAGUAUGGCCGAUCGUGCGUGUGACUUGUUUUGACCUGAGUGAACUCUCUGUAUAUACUUCCUCUGUGGUUUUACCACAGAAUAGAUACCGGACCAGAAGGGACACUCCUAUGUGUUUUGGCUGAAAGAAAACGUCCGAAAUUUUUUUUCGUGCUAUGACGCCAUCCUGGAGUGCACACGGAACUUUGUACCUAUGUUUUUCUAUGAAAAACUUCCGUGUGCACUCCAGGAUGGCGUCAUAUGAUGGCGUAUUUUCACGUCAGCACUCGUAAAAUUUCAGACAAAAUAUCGUCUGAGUGACACUUCUGGUCAUGUAUCUAUUCUGUGGUUUUACUGUCCGUCUUCAGGUUAUUACAACUUUGUAAAUGUUGACGUGUACAAACUAAUUUAACGUUCGUUCUACGCAAGCUCAAUUUCAAAAUAAAAUGCAUGCGCACGCGCGUGUCUGUUCUCAUUAUCGAAAUAUUUGUCUAAAAUAGGCCUCCAUACUGUCAAUGACUCAAAACUGUUUAAUACUUUCAUACCACGAUGUAUUUCCCAGAGAGACUCUAUUCCUUCUUUCACCUUUCUUUGUCUCAAACCACUUUCUUUUGCCACAACACUUGUAUUUUCCCAAUCAACUCCACUUAAACAAUUCACAUUGUGUCGCGCUAAUCCCCCGUCUUCCUUUCCCAUUCGUUCAUUCGCCAUUGUCAGGUUCCCGUUUUUGGUAUCUUCAUUCGUUAGUCUCACUUUGCUUUGAUGGAGGCCCAUUUUAGAAAGAUAUUUCGAUAAUGAGAACAGACACGCACGUGCGCGUGCAUUUUAUUUUGAAAUCAAGCUUGCGUAGAACGAACGUUAAAUUAGCUUGUACACGUCAACAUUUACAAAGUUGUAAUAACCUAAAGACGGACAGUAAAACCAAAGAGUAGAGAUCAUACAGAGACGUAACUAGUGUACCCACUUUUUUUGUGCGCAUGCUCGGCAAGUUACUAGAUGCAUGCAUCUGAUUGGAUGACGACCUGAUGACGACUAACUUUAAACUUGCUGAGCACGCGCAGUUGAUCAUUUUUCGGCCGGUCGCCUGAAAAAAAGUGGGUACGUGAUAACGUAAUCUUCCGCAGUGUUUACAACGGUCAAUUACGUCUCUGUAUGUCUCUACUCUGUGGUAAAACUGUCCGAAACGUUGUUAAAAACAAAGUAAACCUCUUGAAAAAACCUGUUUGAAAGUGAAUUGAAUUAUAUAAUUAAUGAUGACCAGAGGUGAAAGUUUUAGAAGAAUAAUAUAUAAUAAGGUUUUACUAUUUGACGAGCCUUCACAAACUUGCAAGAUGAUUAAAAAUAUAAAUUAUAAUGUUUUAGUCUUGAUUUGCGAAAUUACAAUCUGUAAUUUUUAUCUUUUCUAAUUUCUUAAUUUUAGGAAUCAUAAUGCCGGGGGUCCCCAACAAGUCCUCGUCGUCUCAUCCCUAGCUAGCACACCCCUGGUGAGAGCUUUAAAACGUUCAGUAAUUAAACCCCUGAGUUGACUUUUCUCAAACGAGGGCAAAAUAGAUUAUGACACUAAUAACAGCAUUUCCCUGCAAGAGUUGGUGGUGAUGAGUAAUAAUAGAAAUUUACUUGUUUUGAGACUUUUUCAUAGCCGAGUUAAGUGAACGUGACUUAGCGUGCAAUUCGGCACUAAGGAAGCCCAUUACCUAAUGUUUGCGGACGGGAUUAAUUAAUCGAAAUACUUAUAUUUUCUUGAUCCUGGACCUAACAUACAAAGUGCUUUUCCGGGCGUAAGCUUGCGAAGAGGGCACUAAUUCUGCUUGCUUAUUUAUACCCGGGGAUAGGAAACAUUGACGAUGUUUACAUUAGUCAUCAAUAAUCACAGGCGCGUGGCUAUGAUUCAUGGGUAUCAUGGGUAGACCUCCUCGCAGACCUCAAAAUUAUGCAUGCUGUUUACAAAGAAUAGCUAAGCAAGAUUUCAAUUUUCAAAAACAAAUAUUCAAAAAAUCGUUUCAUACAAUGAGCUAACAAGCAAUUUCUAUUUGAAGAAAUUAUUCGAUUUACUAUGCGAUAUCGUGAAAUACAGGGCAAGUCUAUUUGCUUUCAAUCUUUAAUUGCCCUAUUUAUUUUAAUUAAGGAAGGAACUUAAAAUGUAUAAAAGGUGAAAAUAAGUUUCAACCGAAUUGAAAUUACCUAAUAAGUUGAACUAAUUUUGUUUUACCAAGUAAAAAGCAGUUUAUCAGAAAAAGCAGUUUAGCUGAAUGAAUAACAUUUCAAAACUUUUUAAGGAGCAGUUCGGAUUAAAUUUUACGUAGCUAUAUUAUAUUUAAAACAUGAAUAGCAGUGUUUUAUCAGAUAUAAAGAUACGAGGCGUAGCCGAAAAUUUUUUGGUCUAAUAUGAAACACACACUGCGAAUGUUUUAAAUUGCUUCAAAAACGAUCGAUCUAGUAUCUGUCCAUUAGCGAAGUAAUUUUCAAAAAUAACUUUGAGCAUGGCACUUGCACAAUAUGAUAUCCAACAAUUUGUUGGAACAUCCAGUUAAGAAUUUGAAAUGGCAGUUUGGAAGUAUUUUACUAUUUUCCUUCCUUCGCGACGCAAUACUGAAUUGAACGUCGAGUUCAUGGAGACAAAUGUACCAGACCAUAUUUUAAAUAACAGCACUUGUCUAUCGCAAAAAGGCCGGUUCGAUAUCAAAAGCGAAGUAUACUUUAUAAAGACUGACAAUUGACAAUUUGCGUAAUAGACUUAAUUUUGAUCUAAACAAGUCUAGACAAAAAUUUCAUCACAGCUUGAAAGAGCAUCACAAAAUUAGUAAUAUUACAAAGCUUCGUUGCGAAAUGUUGGAAAAUGCGGAUAAUAUAGCCUUGCGAAGUUUGCAAUUUUCAGUCAUUUUAGAUUACAAACGUGAAAUUGACAGCCCCAAAGGGUAUUAGGCUGUCAAUUUCCCGUUUGUAAUCUAAAAUGACUGAAAAUUGCAAACGUCGCACUAGGCUAUAUUAUCCGCAUUUUACAACAUUUCGCAACGAAACUUUGGAAUAUUACUAAUUUUGUGAUGCUCUUUGAAGCUGGGCAUGAUGAAAUUUUUGUCUAGAUCAAAAUUUAGUAUAUUACGCAAGUGGUCAGUCAAUUGUGGAAAGGAGCAGACGGGAAAACAGCAACCAUCAAGGAAGAUAUGGAAAUGCUCUUGAAAUUUGACUUGCAUCUUAUUCUUUGUUGACGAUUGGAGGUUGCAGUACUAUAGUUGAAACAACGCUUUCAUCUUUGCCUCGAUAAACAUUGGCGAUGAUAAACAUAUAUGCCAAUGGCGACAAGCUGACUAUUGCGGUCAUCUUUAUGCCUGCAUGAAUGUGUACAAAUCUUGUUUUGGUAAAUGUUUCAUGACUUUCCUUUCAAAGGUUGUUCUGUUCAACAAUAAAUAUGGAAAUACACGCCAAAACCUCUAUAUACACAUACACUGUCAUUUAUUUAAUUUAAACAGCUGAAAUUUUGUUAUAUUGAAGUGCACCCUACUGUAUAUGUCUCAUUAAACACAGCAAUACAGCAGUUUUCAUGAUACGUCGUACUUAACAACGUACGUACGCUGACACUAUAUACUCCGGAACGAAGCACGCGAUGAUGCCAAGUUUUAUGUCUGUGCCCAUGCACUAAGCCGUUAGAGUUUUGGUCGGAUUCGCAAAACGAGCGCAAAUAGUGAAGAACUAAAAAUAAUAAAAAUAGUGCAGAUAGGCUGAAGUUAGAAGGUUGAAAAAAUUAAAAAUUGAUAAAGUGGAAGCCACCAAGCGCUUUUUUUAUCUCGCUCCAUUUAGAAACCACGCUGAAAUGCUACACUGACGGACUGGCAUUUUGCUCUGAUAGCCGUGGUAUAAAAAUGGUGGCUUUGCCUUGUCUGAACAACACCCUAAGUAAUUUACUCAUGAAUAAAAUUAUUUUAGAAAAUUUAUAUUCAAAUGUUUGAAGGCCCGAAACAAUGCGUUUAGAACGUGGGUCAGUAAAAACAUAAAAAGCUGAAACUGCAUCCAUAUAAUUGUACCUUUAAAAGUUGUUUAAUUAAAUAUUAUACACUGCCAAACAAGACUUUCAUUUUAGUCUAAUCUACUCAGUGUGCAUACAAUUCUGUGGCAAUGAGGCAAUAUUUACAAAGCACGAAGAGACACUGAUAAAUUAGAAGCAAGCGAGUCUUCACAUUGCCGUGAAUUUCUAUCACAACUUGCUCUGAAUAUAAGAAUAUCAAGCUCAUCAUAUUUACUGCACUAUGCUGACUAACUAUAUGUCAUAUAUCUUCACAUAAUGUUAGUAGGCUAUAUCUCAUGUAUGUUCUGUUAUAUCAGAAACUAUAAUAAUAUAUAUACAUAGGAACUUGUUCUGCGACCGGCAGAACGAUUAUAUUUUUCGUUUAUAUUUAAUAUUAACCCAUUAAGUUAGUAACUUUGCGCCCUAAUGCGUCCUCUAUUACUUCAUCUAACGCCAGACGAUUUUCGCCUUUAAGGGGAGAGUGCUGGCCAUCAAUGUGUUAAUUAUAACCAGACUAGAGCGCAACUUAAUUGCAUUGCGCCUACUUAUAUUCACAGUUUUUGGCGGAUAUUCUGUUGUGAUCCCCGCGACAAUCUAAAAUGUUAUUUAUUUCGUUACUGUUAAUUCGUUAAGUGAUAUUAAAGCUGUGACAAAGCUUUUAAAAUAUCAUAUUUACUCUGUCUAACGCCGGAUUAUAAUAUUCCAUCUGAGCCAGACGAUUUUACUCGUCGAGAGAUUAGAGAGAUGGCGAUCAGGGGGUUAACCAACAUUCGCGCUGUGAAAAGUUUUAUUCGUGACGGAGUAAUUUUCCAAAGUGCUAGGUUCAAGCCAAGUUGCAGUGGGGUUAUCGGACGGUGUAACAUACUUGCCGCACCAUCGCCGCCAAAAGUAGAAACAGAUGUUUGGGAAUUUUUUAUAAUUUUGCAAAUGAAUACUAUACAGUGCCGUUGCAUUAGUAAUGGCGUUAACAGAGCCAGUUAAGUUCUUGCCGAAUGAAACCAUUUCACUACCUUCAUUCCUUUACGGCGCAAAAUUGAAUUUCUCCGGAAAAAUAUUAAACAGUUAAAUGUCGAGUUCAGGGCGACAAGUGUGCAGACCAAAAGAUCAAUACCAUGAAUUGUCUUUCGCACAAUGAAGCGCAUGUUCGAUGCAAAACGCCAAACAGAAUUAUAUAACUUUUGAAAUAGAACUUAACACACGAAAAAAAGGAACGGCGAAAGAACAUGUAGAAAUAUUUUUGAAAUUAAACUUUCUUCUUCUCCUUUCUUUAUCUCUUGUUUUAGUUGGAGUAACCCUUUCAUCCUUGAGUUUUGACUUGGCAAUGAUGAACAUGUUGUAGUUUAAGAAAAUGAACGCGAAGAGGAGAAAGAACAAGAAAAACACAUUUGUGAAAACUUUAGCAAAUGCUUCAGUCCAAAGUAUAUAAAUGUUGAGAAACCGACUUGUGUAAUCAUAAAAAUGCCA